UGUUUAAAUCUUAAAGUAGAUCUGCUCGUUUGCAUUAAGGCUUUGCUGUAAUGGAGGUCGAUUGCAGACUCCCUCACGGCGUUGCAUCUGGGAUAGGGAAUCAUACUGCUGAGUAUAGCUGUGGUGCGGAUUCGGGGAUAGUUUGCAAGAUUUUACAUCUGACGGAUUGCAAUUACAGCGACGGUGAGAGCGUUUUGAGUUUGAGGAUGCCCUGACGUUCGCAGUGGAACUGUGAAAGUUUCAGGAUGGAGAAACGGAUAACCCUUUCUUUGAUCUGCAUUUGUUGAUUGUGUUGUUACUGCAUGUGCGGAAAAAAGAAAGUACCCAGGUGCUCAGAGGAUUCAAAAUCAGGAUUACUUGAUGAUAAUGUUUAUACAUCACUCUCAUCACUGGGAGUAGUCCAGAAGUGAAGGGAGGCAGCGAGUUGGGCCCCAAACAGGACGUGCAUUUUUUUUUUCCAGUUUUGCAAAGCUCUUUUGGAGGUUUUCUUUAAACAAAAGCUACAAUCUCCUAUCGUUCACAGAACUAAAACGGAAGGGGUUCAGUCACAUUCUGGAAUCAUCUGCACAUGAGGUGAAGGAGUGCCAAUGCUUGCAAGCCGUUAUGCGAGGUGAGCUUUGGUUUUUAGCAUGGAUUGCUGGCCCUGUGUGGAUUUUAUGUACCUGGCACAGGUUGUGUUCGCCGUGGUUGGUCCGGAGUUAUCUUCAGCGCCAUGGUCAUUUGUUUUCCUCCAUCCUGUAUUGUCUUCAGAACCAUUGGUCCUUUGUUGUUCAAAAUUAAUGCGACAAGUUGUGCUCGGUGCCGAUCCUGGCUGAUAAGGUGUAUUUUUGGCUGCAGAGUCGAUUCUUACGUAUGCUGUGGUUUUAUGUAUCAAUUGUAUAUUGCGUUUUGAAUUUUUUUCUGAGUUACAUUUUCUUGCUCCAAGCUCCCUGGUGUGUCUGGGUCUAAUAAAAAUAUCUCUUCACUUUGAUGAUGCUCUGCAUUCUUCUCA